CCUACGGAGUUCUGAUAGAAUCUGUUGCAUUAGUGCUGGUAUGAUCGCACCUGUUUCAUUUCACGCUGCAAAUACAUACACUCCUUCUCCUUUCUUCCCCCUCCCGUCAUUUAUUUCCUUGUGCGUGCGCACUACACCUCUCGUUCUUGUUCAAAUAUCUAGUAAAAUGCCACGACGCCGUGACUCACAUUUGCGAAUAAAUCUGCGGACC
rnacentral:lncRNA from 1 species